CUGCAGCACGAAACCAUGAGUCCAUGGCUGGACCGGCCCGGCUCAGUUGUACAUGGUCAUUUGGAGCCACUGCAACCAAAUAAAGACCAGCUUCAUCAGCAGGUACAGGAAGCCGGGGUAGCUGAUGGUCAUGUCUGGUUCUGUGUAUCUGAGUCCCACCAGCUGCAUCACCAGCUCAUCCACCUUGAUACCUGCAGACACAGCAUCCUUCCAACAUCAUCUGCUCCUGGACUACAGUGAAGAUGCUGAGCUGCUCGUACCGUCCACCUC